ACAAAAUAGAAAACAGAGUUUUAGAUAAUAAACAUUGAGGAUGGGUUUAUUUUGAUAUUUUUGAUGACACGCCUUAAAUCUUAUAAAGUUAUCAUAUUUAAAACAAACAAAAAUUGGAAUGGCAGUUUAAAAAGUAUAGGUCCUUUUUGUAGGGACAGUGCAAUUCUGCAUGUUAAAGAACCCUUGCUACAACUCUUUUGAAGUGUCAGUAGGACGUGGCUUGUGGCAAGGCUAACUUUCUGUCCAACAUUAUCCUCCUCUCAGCUGGAAGACAAAUUGUUCGCUCCCUUCACCAUUGAAUAGAUGACUUUAUAGAACCUACAUAUUGAUUUGUUGUGAUAUCAAGAGAUGUGAGACAUCUUUCCUACUGAGACCAAAUGAUGUUAAUGUAAAUAAGAUUACUGUUUUGGCUUUAACAAUGAGAAAAUCCAAUAACAUUGAAAUUUUGCAAUAUUCUGAUUUAGAAUGACUUUUUUUAUACCUCCAACCUUUAACAUCUGAUAUUUUUAUUAUCUAGAGCUCUGUAAAAAAAAUAUAUAAAAAGAAAAUACCAAGAAUGUAUAUGAAAACAAAAUUGUAAACAGAGUUCUAGAUAAUAAACAUUAAGGGUGGUAUAAAAAGUGGGCAUUUAUCAAAUUUCUUUUUAUUCAAUAUUUAUUAUAAUAUGAAUACAUUUAUUAUAAUAUGAAUAUAACUCGGUUGUUGGUUAAUGCUUUUGUGCUGAAUAGGUGUUUUCUUUCAUUAGUAUAUUAACGUUUCAUUUAGUUAAGCUGUUUAUUUUGUAUGCCAAAAAUGGCUUUAAAAGCGCAUUUUUUUUUCCAUUUCAGUAAUUUGGAGACUUAACAUCUAUUUUCUCUGAAUAUUGCAUGCUAAAAUUGUGGUCAAAUUUGAUUUUGACUCACUUUGUUUGAAGCUAUGACCUUAAACAUCUGAUAUUUUUAUCAUCUAGAGCUCUGUUAAAAAAAAAAAAAAAAAAAAAUGUGAAAAAAAAAAAAUAACAAAAAAUAAUAUGAAAACAAAAUUGUAAACAGAGUUCUAGAUAAUAAACAUUGAGGGUGGUAUAAAAAGUGGGCAUUUAUCAAAUUUCUUUUUAUUCAAUAUUUAUGAAUAUAACUUGGUUGUUGGUGAAUGCUUUUGUGCUGAAUAGGUUUUUUUCUUUAAUUAGUAUAUUAACUUUUCAUUUUGUUAAGCUGUUUAUUUUGUAUGCCAAAAAUGGCUUUAAAAGCACAUUUUUUUUUCAUUUCAGUAAUUUGGAGACUUAACAUCUAUUUUCUCUGAAUAUUGCAUGCUAACAUUGUCGCAAAAUUUGAUUUUGACUCACUUUGUUUGAAGCUAUAACCUUAAACAUCUGAUAUUUUUAUCAUCUAGAGCUCUGUUAAAAAAAAAAAAAUGUGAAAAAAAAAAAAAUAACAAAAAAUAAUAUGAAAACAAAAUUGUAAACAGAGUUCUAGAUAAUAAACAUUGAGGGUGGUAUAAAAAGUGGGCAUAUUUAAAAUUUUAUGUUAUACAAUAUUUAUGAAUACAGCUCAGUUUUUGGUGAAUUCUAUUGUGCUGAAUAGGUUUUUGUCUUUAAUUAGUAUAUUAACUUUUCAUUUCGUUAAGCUGUUUAUUUUUAACCAAAAAUGGCUUUAAAAGCGCAUAUUUUUUCAUUUCAGUAAUUUGGAGACUUAGCAUGCAAUUGCAUGCUAACAUUGUCGUAAAAUUUGAUUUUGACUCACUUUGUUUGAAGCUAUAACCUUAAACAUCUGAUAUGUUUAUCAUCUAGAGCUCUGUUAAAAAAAAAAAAUGUGAAAAAAAAAAAAAUAACAAAAAAUAAUAUGAAAACAAAAUUGUAAACAGAGUUCUAGAUAAUAAACAUUGAGGGUGGUAUAAAAAGUGGGCAUUUAUCAAAUUUCUUUUUAUUCAAUAUUUAUGAAUACAGCUCAGUUUUUGGUGAAUUCUUUUGUGCUGAAUAGGUUUUUUUCUUUAAUUAGUAUAUUAACUUUUCAUUUUGUUAAGCUGUUUAUUUUUAACCAAAAAUGCCUUUAAAAGCGCAUUUUUUUUAUCAUUUCAGUAAUUUGGAGACUUAACAUCUUUUUUCUAUGAACAUUGCAUGCUAACAUUGUCGUAAAAUUUGAUUUUGACUCACUUUGUUUGAAGCUAUAACCUUAAACAUCUGAUAUUUUUAUCAUCUCGAGCUCUGUUAAAAAAAAAAAAAAAAAAAUGUGAAAAAAAAUAAAUAACAAAAAAUAAUAUGAAACAAAAUUGUAAACAGAGUUCUAGAUAAUAAACAUUGAGGGUGGUAUAAAAAGUGGGCAUAUUUAAAAUUUUAUUUUAUACAAUAUUUAUGAAUACAGCUCAGUUUUUGGUGAAUUCUUUUGUGCUGAAUAGGUUUUUUUCUUUAAUUAGUAUAUUAACAUGUUAUUUUUUAUGCCAAAAAUGGCUUUGAAAGUUCUAAUAUUGAAUUGGAAGUACAUGUUUUUCAUUUUAGUAAAUUGGAGACAACAUCUAUCUUCUCCGAAUAAUACAAGCUUAUACUGUCUUAGUUUUUUUUGUUUUAAUUUGAAUUAGAAUUACUUUGUUUAAAUCUAUAAUUUUAAACAUCUGAUUUGUUAAUUAUCUGGAGCUCUGUAAAAAAAAAUUGUGAAAAAAAAAUAAUUUAAAAACAAGAUUGUAAACAGAGUUCUAGAUAAUAAAUAUUGAGGGUGGUAUAAAAAGUGAGCAUAUUUAAAAUUUAUUUUUAAUCAAAAUGUUUUUGAGUACAACUCAGUUUUUGGUGAUUUUUUUGUGUUGAAUAUGUCUUUUCUUUCAUUAGUAUAUUAACUUGUUAUUUUUGUCGAGUUGUAUAUUUUGUAUGGCAAAAAUGGAUUUAAAAGUUUGAAUAUUUUAUUGGAAGUGCAAUUCUUUUAAUUUUAGAAAUUUGGAGACAACAUUUGUCUUCUCCAAAUAUUUCAUGCUAACAUAGCCCUAAAAAUUUUCUAAAAUUUUAUUUUGAAUUACUUUUUAUAAACCUAUAACCUUAAACAUCUGAUAUUUUAUUAUCUAGAGCUCUGUGAAAAAAAAAAAAAAAAAAAACAUGUGUAAAACAAAAAAGUAACUAAAUAAUAACAUGAAAACAAAAUUGUAAACAGAGUUCUAGAUUAUAACAUCAAGGGUGGUGUAAAAAGUAGGCAUGUUUAAAGUUUGUUUAUUAUUAUGAAUAGUGCACUGUAUAAUUUGUAAAAUAUUUAUUGUGAAAUCUUGGAAAAUUGUGAAAUUUUAGAACUGUGUUUAUUUGAGAUGUCUAUAUUCAAUCUUCAAUAAUGGUCGUGGCAAUGGAGGACAAUUGAAUAUUAUUGCUCUAUGAAGAAACAGACUUUUUUAUAUCAAGAAAAAUCCAACAACAGUUAUCAAUGAUAUCUAAAGAGACAAAAUACUGAGAAAUACUAAAAGCUCAAAUAUGUUCAGUCAAACUACUGGCACACUCAAGCUAAAAGUAAUAGCUUAAUAAAACUAUAAACUUAUAUAAUAAAAUUGAUGUUCUACAUUGAAGACAUGUUCCUACAUACCAUUCUAUAGAGAAGACACCUUCCUACAUAAUGUUUUAUAGAGAAGACGCAUUCCUACAUAAUGUUCUGGAGAAGAUGCAUUCCUACAUUAUGUUCUAGAGAAGACAUGUGCUUUACAUACUGUUCUAUAGUGAAAGACAUGUUUCUACAUACUGUUCAAUAGUGAAGACACGUUCCUUGGUACUGUUUUAUAGUGAAGACAUGUUCCUUGGUACUGUUUUAUAGUGAAGACACAUUUCUACAUAAUGGUAUUGAAGACAUAUAUUGUUCCUACAUAAUGUUCUAUGGUGAAGAAAGAUGUUCUAUAGCACAAACAGAUGUUCCUUAGUUGCAAUGAAGUGUUCAGAAGACAGACAGAGUUUUCUUUUGCAAUGAAGUAUCCAGAAGAUUUCCAGCUCUUCAUAACAUAUUCUGCUGUUUUCUCAAGAAAAACACAAGAUUUCAAUGUUCAACCUGAAAGUAGAAAUUCUUAAAAUUUAUGCUGGACAUCACAAUACUGGAUAUCUACAGAUUUAAGACUUGUGGAGAAUAUUCUGAUAAAUUAAUGAUGUACGACAAAUCCUGCCCAGCAAAACUUAUCUUGAUGGGAGUAAAACAUACCACUGAAUCUCACUUGUACAGGGUUGUUAAUCAGCAAAAUUAUUUAAUGGGAGAAAAACAUGGGAGCAGGAUCUCACCUCAUACAAGUGAGGAGGAACGAUUGAACUGAUGAACUAAGAAACAUCUGAAUGGUGUACACAAGACAAACAGACCACAUAGAAUUAGGAAAGAGAAAGAUGAGCUCAUAGAGAAAAGGAUAGUUGAAAUUUAAAAAAAACGAAUUAACCAACAUACCAGGUGAAUUAUCACCAACUUAGAGUUUAGAGCUGGCUCAACUGAUGAACAUAUUCAACUGAUAGACAUAAAACACAGAACUUCAAACAUAUUAACAGCAUAGGAAAACAAGGAAAAUGUCAGAGACUAAUAUUCUUGUCAAUUAAAAUAUAUGACUGAAAUUUCAUAUUGUAUAUGGUCAGAGGGAGAGAGAGAAAUAUGUAGAAUGGUCAAGAGUGGUAAAGGGAGCACACUCAUGUAUGAUGAUGAGAGAGGAGAGAGAAGAAAUUUUGCAACUGGUAAAUUUGUCAUCAACCAAACACAUGGCUUGUGAUGACCUUGGACAUCUGAUAUUUUUAUUAUCUACAGCUACAUGAAAACAAAAUUUAAACAGAAUUCAAGAUAAUAAUCAUUGAGGGUGGUGUAAAAAGUGGGAAUCUGAUGUACAGUAGUUGUCGUUUGUUUACACAAUUUAUAUGUGUUUCUCAUGGUUUUUUUUAUGUAGAUUAGACUGUUGGUUUUCCCGUUUGAAUAAGAACACUAGUAAUUUUGGGGCCCUUCAUGGCUUGUUGAUUGUGUGAUCCAAGGCUCCAUGUUGAAGGCCGUACAUUGACCUAUAAUGGUUUACUUUUUUAAAUUGUUAUUAGGAUGGAGAGUUGUCUCAAAGACACUCCCACCAUAUCUUCCUAUAUUUUAAAUUCUCUUUUUUUCACCAAUAUAUUUAUGAAAUUCAAAACGAGAAUGUUUAAUUGGACAUACAAUUCUUUUGAUUUUAGAUAUUUAGAGACAAAACCUAUUGUUCUUUAUUUAUUACUGUCUAAAAGUGUCAAAGAUUUGCAAUAUCCUUAUUUUGAAUGUCUUUGCUUAUACCUCUAACUUUAAAUAUCCAAUAUUUUUAUUAUCUAGAGCUCUGUAAAAAAAAAAAAAAAAAAAAAAAUGUAGAAAAAUAACAAAAAUAACAAAAAAUAAUAUGAAAACAAAAUUGUAAACAGAGUUCUAGAUAAUUAACAUUAAGGAUGGUGUAAAAAGAAGGUAUAUAUUUUGAAUUAUCUCCACCUUCCAAAUAUAUUUAUGAAAUUAAAUACCAAGAGAUAUUUAUUGGUGAAUGAUGGAUAAGUUUUUUCUUUUCAUUAGUGUACAUAUUUUUAAAAUGUUUUUUGUAAAGCUGUACAUUUUUCUGAGGCAUUGAAAUUGCUUUUUGGUAACUAUGUUGAGUUGGAAGCAUAUAUAUCACCCUUACAGUGUCUUUAAUUUGCAUGCUAUUCUGAUUUCAAAUAUCCUUGCUUAUACCUUGAACCUUAGACAUCCAAUAUUUUUAUUAUCUGGAGCUUUGUAUAAAAGAAAAAUGACAAAAACGAAAUAUGAAAACAAAAUUGUAAACAGAGUUCUAGAUAAUAAACAUUAGGGAUGGUGUAAAAAGUGGGUAUAUUUUGAAUUUUUCAAUGGCCUUAAACUUUGAAUGUUUAAAUGGAUGUUUUGAGAUAAAUCCCGUCAUCUCUGUUUUCUGUGUAACAGUGUUGUAAAUUUUUCAAUAUUGUGAUUUUGAAUAUCCUUGUUAACUGAGUUAACCCUCACUUUUAUCUUUUGAAUUCCAUUCAGUUUUGAAAUAAAAUGUGAUGCCAA